rnacentral:snoRNA from 11 species
AAUGAUGAAUAAACAAGGGACUUAAUACUGAUGUGUGAUGUUGCCUUUAUUUUCUGA